GGCAGGUUCUGAACCCAAGAUGACUGGUGUCUUUACAGGAAGAGGAGAGACAGAUGCAGAGAGGAGACUCCCAUGUGGUAAAGGAGACACAGGGAACUUGUAGUGGCAGAGGCAGAGAUUGGAGGGAAGCACCGGGGAGCCCAAGGAAACUAGGAGAGAAGGAAGGAAGGAUGGUCUCCCGAUGCUCCCAGGAAGCCCAGCCCAGACAUCUGCAGUGUAGACACAGACUCCACAAUGUGACAGAAUGUGUUUCUAUUGCUGCCAGCUACCCCGUUUGUGACCAUUUGUUACGGCAGCCCCAGGAAAUGAGUGCGGUCUAUUUUUACCUGUAUCUUGAGUCUUCGUCUGGGAAUGAGGUCAACCAAGAAUCACAGUGCUGUUCAUUUCAGACAUGGGAGCAGAAGACAAGAUUUCAGACUCAUACACACGGCGACCCCAUGCCCGACUUCAAAAAAACAGUGAUUCAUCCAGACACCAAAGCUCAGCAGCUCAGAGUCAACCUCAAAUAUAGUCAAAGCUCACCAAGUGCUCUCCCAAGAAAAAUAGAACAUAAGUGCCAGAUGACCUGCGGUAAAGACUCUUCUUCCAGAGAGUGGCUGGACUGUCCUGAUUUCAUCGCACCUACAUUAGCGUGUCAACAGGCCCUUGCAAUUCCCAACGAUCCCACUGGGCUUCUUUAUCAUUGAUUACCUGUCCAGUGCCACACAUUUCUACAAAUGCACUCUCUUUUCUUUACGGCUGCAAUGCAGGACCAUUAAAAUCGGGUGUAGGUGUUCAUUAAAAUCGGGCUGAUUGAAUGUCUUUUUUUUUUUUCUUGAUCAAGUAUCUCUACUGAGCUGUGAUUUAGCGAACAUCUUACACUCACCUCUGCUUUCAAGAAAGAUGAGAAACAUGUAACUUUCCGUUUACUGUUGACUGAGACAACAGUUGCCUGAAAAAUUAACUAGAAAUUGAAGUAAACACCAAUAAGGAAGUUACUUCAAAAUAAUUCUCAUUAUUUCUGACUUAUCGUUUGCACCUGAAACAUCUAAGGGGAGUGCCAAUUAAAAUUAUGUGUAUUGUGGGGCACCUGGGUGACCGUUUGACUCUUGGUUUUGGCUCAGGUCAUGAGCCAUGGGAUUGAGCCCCGAGUCGAGCUCCCAGCUGUGAGGUAGCUUCUUCUCCAUCUGCCUCUCCCUCUCCUUUGUCCUCUCUCUCUCUUUUUCCUUUCUCAAAUAAAUAUAUAAAAUCUUUAGAAAAAAAUAAAAAAAUAUAUAAUUACCUGCAUUGCCUUUGAUGAUGAAUGGCUUUCUAAAACAUGUAUUAAAUAUAUGAACAGCACGAGAUGUGAUCAAUGAGUUUUAUUGCCAUGACGAUGGGUAAUAUGACUUAACAUAGUUGUAGAGCAUAAUUUGU
rnacentral:lncRNA from 1 species